rfam:Ovis aries breed Texel chromosome 9, whole genome shotgun sequence.
UCCCUGGUGGCUCAGCUGGUACAGAAUCCGCCUGCAAUGCGGGAGACCUGGGUUCGAUCCCUAGCUCGGGAA